CAAGACCUGCGCUUUUGGAGCGGCCGAUGUCUGAUUAGCUUGUUGGUGAGGUAAAGGCUUACCAAGGCUUCGAUCAGUAGCUGGUCUGAGAGGACGGCCAGCCACACUGGGACUGAGACACGGCCCAGACUCCUACGGGAGGCAGCAGUGGGGAAUUUUGGACAAUGGGGGCAACCCUGAUCCAGCCAUGCCGCGUGAGUGAAGAAGGCCUUCGGGUUGUAAAGCUCUUCCAGCCGGAACGAAACGGUUACGGUUAAUACCCGUGACUACUGACGGUACCGGAAGAAGAAGCACCGGCUAACUACGUGCCAGCAGCCGCGGUAAUACGUAGGGUGCAAGCGUUAAUCGGAAUUACUGGGCGUAAAGCGUGCGCAGGUGGUUUUGUAAGUCAGAUGUGAAAUCCCCGGGCUUAACCUGGGAACU
rnacentral:rRNA from 1 species